rnacentral:rRNA from 1 species
CCGGUAGGUACUCGAGUGGCGAACGGGUGAGUAACGCGUGGGUGAUCUGCCCUGCACUCUGGGAUAAGCCUGGGAAACUGGGUCUAAUACCGGAUAGGACCAUGCUUUAGUGUGUGUGGUGGAAAGUUUUUCGGUGUAGGAUGAGCCCGCGGCCUAUCAGCUUGUUGGUGGGGUAAUGGCCUACCAAGGCGGCGACGGGUAGCCGGACUGAGAGGUUGGUCGGCCACAUUGGGACUGAGAUACGGCCCAG